rnacentral:misc_RNA from 1 species
UUCAAACGAAAAAAAGCACAACACUUUUGAAGGAUACCCUACAAGCCUCACUCCGGCACUUGAGUUCUCUGCUGCGGUUGCUUCCUUCCGGACCUGGCCGAGUUCACAGAGUAUCAAUGCGGAGGGACCCAUAAGGCACCCAUCAAACGUGUUGUGCUUGACAACGAGUGAAUUAUUAACUAUUCACUGAUUCUUUGCAACCGUUUAUAGCAGUUUUAUUCU